CCUACGGGAGGCAGCAGUAGGGAAUCUUGCGCAAUGGGCGAAAGCCUGACGCAGCCAUGCCGCGUGAAUGAUGAAGGUCUUAGGAUUGUAAAAUUCUUUCACCGGGGAAGAUAAUGACGGUACCCGGAGAAGAAGCCCCGGCUAACUUCGUGCCAGCAGCCGCGGUAAUACGAAGGGGGCUAGCGUUGCUCGGAAUUACUGGGCGUAAAGGGCGCGUAGGCGGAUAGUUUAGUCAGAGGUGAAAGCCCAGGGCUCAACCUUGGAAUUGCCUUUGAUACUGGCUAUCUUGAGUUCGGGAGAGGUGAGUGGAAUGCCGAGUGUAGAGGUGAAAUUCGUAGAUAUUCGGCGGAACACCAGUGGCGAAGGCGACUCACUGGCCCGAUACUGACGCUGAGGCGCGAAAGCGUGGGGAGCAAACAGGAUUAGAUACCCUGGUAGUCCACGCUGUAAACCGAUGAGUGCUAGUUGUCGGCAUGCAUGCAUGUCGGUGACGCAGCUAACGCAUUAAGCACCUCCGCCGUCGGGGAGGUACGGUCGCGAAGAAUUAAAACUAACAAAUAGAAGUUAGACGGCGUGAGACGUCGACCGAACGGACGACGACGAGGGAGGUUAGG
rnacentral:rRNA from 1 species